rnacentral:lncRNA from 1 species
CAACAAAUCAUUUCAUCACAAACACUUGCAAGGGCAGAUUCCUAUGAGUUGUUAGCUCCCUACUUAGGGAUUGCACAAUGCCCAAAUAAUAUUGCCCCUAGCCCAGUUGACAUGAACACAAACCCAAGCAUAAAAUAAUCCUUUUUAAAAUACGGCCCUUUCCCUAAAACAAACUAGGGAGAAAGAUCGACAACAGGAGAAAAGAAAAAUGGUGACACUAUCACAUGUGCAGCCCGUCCUGCAGGAGACGAUACAGUGUUACCUUACAGUGCAUGAAUACAUUUUUUUCCUGUCAUAUUCAACUCCAACUGACUGCUCUGUUUGCCACGCCACAUGAUUAAUGAAUACAAUAGACAUCACCAAUACAUUUCAACAAACUUCACUCACUCCACUGCAUGUGGGUCCUCAAUUCAAUAUUUAGUCUGCAUGUCUCACAGAUUACAACCAAUCCUUUCUCUGUAUUAAAUGCAACCACAUUUUCCUGAACAAGAGAACUGAUAUCCGAUUAGCAGCAGUUGCUCUCAAAACAGCCUUACACUAUGCACUUUAUCAUUGUAGGGUUUUUGCAGUUAUAUUUCUAUACUGUUACACCUUACUGAGUUUUAACAGGAAAUAUACUGGGUGUUGUUGUUCUGCUUUUGUAGCACAAUGAAUAUUUAUCCAUUUUUAGUGUUGCCUUGCCUCAUUGAUUGAGUCAGUUUGACCUGCACACAAACACACACACACACACACACACACACACUGUUACAUUAUUAUAAUCUAAGCACAGACACGCUUAUUGCUCUCACUUUCCCACCCUCUGUCAUGUGCCCACCUGCAAACCACUUGUUUGUUUUUCCAUAUUUUCAAGCACUAUGUGCCUUGCACAUGCUACAUUAAGGGGGUAGGACAAAAAGAUAAAUACUUCUACAUCACACUGCAGAGUCUUCCCCUAUAUAUACACAUAUAUACAUAUAUAUGUGUGUGUGUGUGUACUGGGUAUCUCACAACCUCCAAAAAUGCUUCCUGGGUUUUAUUUAUUUUUUUUUAUUAUGUGGUUUUUUGUUAACCCUGCCUCUCUAUGACUCACUGAGUAUGAGAAACUAUCAGUUAUCUCAAGACGAUCACAGCUUUUUCACCACAGUGCAGUGCAACACAAAACAAGACAUGACGGCUGAUGUUCAGAGUUGUGAUCACUACUUGUUUUUACUCCAGAUUCUGUACAUAAUUACUCUUCAUGGUUUACCUAAUGUAGUAGUUUUACAAAAAGUGCUCAAUUAAUGUGUUUAAUUAAAUUUGAAAUAUCUAGUUUUGUGUUUCUGUUUUCUAAAAACUUGACAAUUGUGAACAACUUCACAUCAGCUGCAGAAAGUGAGCGAUCAUGUCUCAUAUUUUUGGGAAGUUGAAUUUGGAAUUUUUUCUGGAACUUUCUACAUCUUGGUAUCAUUAGUCUCAUAGGCAACGGUCUCCUCUUAUGUGUUGUUUUCAUCUACAAGAACCUGAAAUAUAUCACAAGUAUUUUUAUCCUGAACCUGGCCUGUUCUGAUUUAAUUUUCACCAUCACACUUCCUUUUUGGACUGUUGAUUGUUUACAUGACUGGAUCUUUGGGGAAUUUGUCUGAAAAUUCGUGACUGGUGCUUGUUGGUUUGUACAGCAGUGCCAUUCUGCUGACUGCCAUGACAGUGGAGCGUUUUAUUACUGUCAUACUGCACAACUGGCUGAUCAGCUAUGCCAGAAUGAAGAGAUGUGAAACUGGUGCCUGUGUAGCUGCCUGGGUCAUCAGCAUCUCAGCAUCCCUGAGUGAUGCAAUGAAAGUAGUUGGUUGAAAGCUGACAAACUAAAACCUGACAUUACAAAGAGUAGGCAUGCAGGGGUGUUGAACUCCAGGCCUGGAGGGCCGGUGUCCU